GACGAACGCUGGCGGCGUGCUUAACACAUGCAAGUCGAACGGAAAGGCCCCUUUGGGGGUACUCGAGUGGCGAACGGGUGAGUAACACGUGAGUAACCUGCCCUUUACUUCGGGAUAACUUCAGGAAACUGGGGCUAAUACCGGAUAGGAAUCCUUGCUGCAUGGUGGGGGUUGGAAAGCUUCGGCGGUUUUGGAUGGACUCGCGGCUUAUCAGCUUGUUGGUGGGGUAGUGGCUUACCAAGGCUUUGACGGGUAGCCGGCCUGAGAGGGCGACCGGCCACAGUGGGACUGAGAUACGGCCCAGACUCCUACGGGAGGCAGCAGGGGGGAAUAUUGCACAAUGGGCGGAAGCCUGAUGAAGCAACGCCGCGUGCGGGAAGACGGCCUUCGGGUUGUAAACCGCUUUCAGCAGGGGCGAAGCUUGUGGUGACGGUACCUGCAGAAGAAGCACCGGCUAACUACGUG
rnacentral:rRNA from 1 species